rnacentral:rRNA from 1 species
UACGUAGGGUGCAAGCGUUAAUCGGAAUUACUGGGCGUAAAGCGUGCGCAGGCGGUGAUGUAAGACAGUUGUGAAAUCCCCGGGCUCAACCUGGGAACUGCAUCUGUGACUGCAUUGCUGGAGUGCGGCAGAGGGGGAUGGAAUUCCGCGUGUAGCAGUGAAAUGCGUAGAUAUGCGGAGGAACACCGAUGGCGAAGGCAAUCCCCUGGGCCUGCACUGACGCUCAUGCACGAAAGCGUGGGGAGCAGACAGG